rnacentral:rRNA from 1 species
AUUGAACGCUGGCGGCAUGCCUUACACAUGCAAGUCGAACGGCAGCACGGGAGCAAUCCUGGUGGCGAGUGGCGAACGGGUGAGUAAUAUAUCGGAACGUGCCCAGUCGUGGGGAUAACGCAGCGAAAGCUGUGCUAAUACCGCAUACGAUCUAUGGAUGAAAGCGGGGGAUCGCAAGACCUCGCGCGAUUGGAGCGGCCGAUAUCAGAUUAGGUAGUUGGUGAGGUAAAGGCUCACCAAGCCGACGAUCUGUAGCUGGCCUGAGAGGACGACCAGCCACACUGGGACUGAGACACGGCCCAGACUCCUACGGGAGGCAGCAGUGGGGAAUUUUGGGACAAUGGGCGCAAGCCUGAUCCAGCAAUGCCGCGUGCAGGAUGAAGGCCUCGG